rnacentral:rRNA from 1 species
GUCGAGGGGUAACAGAAAAGCUUGCUUUUGCUGACGACCGGCGCACGGGUGCGUAACGCGUAUGCAACCUACCUCAUACUGGAGGAUAGCCCCUGGAAACGGGGAUUAAUACUCCAUAGUAUCACAAUUUCGCAUGUUAUUGUGAUUAAAGUUUUUCGGUAUGAGAUGGGCAUGCGUCCCAUUAGCUUGUUGGUGAGGUAACGGCUCACCAAGGCAACGAUGGGUAGGGGGCCUGAGAGGGUGGUCCCCCACACUGGUACUGAGACACGGACCAGACUCCUACGGGAGGCAGCAGUGAGGAAUAUUGGUCAACGGAGGAAACUCUGAACCAGCCAUGCCGCGUGAAGGAUGACGGCCCUAUGGGUUGUAAACUUCUUUUAUAGAGGAAGAAACUUGUCUACGUGUAGACAACUGACGGUACUCUACGAAUAAGGAUCGGCUAACUCCGUGCCAGCAGCCGCGGUAAUACGGAGGAUCCAAGCGUUAUCCGGAUUCAUUGGGUUUAAAGGGUCCGUAGACGGAUUUUUAAGUCAGUGGUGAAAGCCGACAGCUCAACUGUCGAACUGCCAUUGAUACUGGAAAUCUUGAGUACAAAUGAAGUAGGCGGAAUGAGUCAUGUAGCGGUGAAAUGCAUAGAUAUGACUCAGAACACCGAUUGCGAAGGCAGCUUACUAACAUGUAACUGACGCUGAGGGACGAAAGCGUGGGGAGCGAACAGGAUUAGAUACCCUGGUAGUCCACGCCGUAAACGAUCAUCACUCGCUGUUGGCGAUAUACUGUCAGCGGCCAAGCGAAAGUAUUAAGUGAUGCACCUGGGGAGUACGCCGGCAACGGUGAAACUCAAAGGAAUUGACGGGGGCCCGCACAAGCGGUGGAGCAUGUGGUUUAAUUCGAUGAUACGCGAGGAACCUUACCAGGGCUUAAAUGUAGUUUGACCGGCUUGGAAACAGGCCUUCUCUUCGGAGCAGAUUACAAGGUGCUGCAUGGUCGUCGUCAGCUCGUGCCGUGAGGUGUUAGGUUAAGUCCUGCAACGAGCGCAACCCCUAUUCUUAGUUGCCAGCGGUUCGGCCGGGGACUCUAAGAAGACUGCCAGCGCAAGCUGAAAAGAAAGGGGGGGAUGACGUCAAAUCAUC